CCCUUCCCUGUUAUCCGCUUCGCAGCGCCAGCGGCAGUCGCGGCCCCGGAGGCAUCGCCGCUGGUGGCUGCAGCAUUCCCGGCUCCGAGAAGGAGCCAGGCUGGCUCUCCUGCUCCCACUAAGUGGCACAGGCAUGGGACUUUUGGGGUCUCCUGUCAGGCCUAGGGAUAGGUGGGGACCCACCAUGGCCCCUCAGAGUACCCUGGCCCUUGUCAGCCCCACUGCCAGGGGGUGAUGUGGGCAGGGGGAUGGAAGCCCUGAAGAGUCCCUGCCUGUGCUUCUCCUGAUAGGCAGGAACAUGGGGAGGUGCAGGCUUGGGGGGGACUCGCACUGACCCCCAGUUCAUCCCUCAGCAGCCCCAGGAGUCCAUAUGGGUCACCCCGUGGAUCCCUGCAGGUCUGGGGAGCCCCAACACCACAAAUCUCCCCCUCCAGAGCCUCCGCCAGCGACAGACAGACGGACAGGCAGCAAUUCCCUGAGGGCACAGCAGGCACCGUGCCCAUGACAACACAGACUCUGCUCCAACAGCCACUUCCCCCUGUGCAUCAAACGGGCUGAGAAAAGCACUGCCCCAUCACCCUGAGACCCUCCCUUCAUGCACCCACUGCCCACCUCCUCACACGCCCCAGCCUCUCUCCUCUGCAAUAUGGGCACAAGCAAUCACAGCUUGCUUUGCCCACCCCAACAUCCGUCUGCCACUCUACCACAGCACCACACACCCCUGCCAGCACCCACAAGACACAGACCAGCUGCUGGGAGCAACUGGGACAUCUCAGAGCAAGGCUGAGCCCUGCAGCACAGGGGACACAAGCCCCCCACGGCAGCUCUACCUCGACCACAGCACAUUCCAACCUUAGAAACCCCAAACAAAACGGGAUUAACAACAACUAAACAGGGUUAAUGCCAAACAGGAGUCAUGCCUUUCCACCCUACAGCCAGUGGCACAGCACAGGGUGCCCACCCUCCACCAGCAACAGGGACAAGGCUCAGGGUAGGGGUCCAAGGCUCACCACACUGCAGACCCCUAAGGGCUCAUUGCCAGGAUGCUUGAGAGGAGGUUGGUGCCAACCCCAGCCACUCCAUGGACCCAGCCAUGUCCUCUGUGCUGGCAGGACGUGACUCCCACCCAUGGCAUCUCUGCAGCCUUGGGAGGCCCCCACUGCCCACACAGAGGGGCUGCAGCAACCCCCUCACACACUGACCCACUCCCACCAGUCCAUGGUGCUGAUAAGCUGCUUUUGUGACCAACCCAUGUGCCUGCGUGGCCAGAUUAGAGCUGGGCAGUGGGCACAGGGCUGGCUGCUGGGGGGGUGCAGCCAUCCUGGCAGCCCCCAAAACACCAUGGACCUUUGCCAAGCUCCUGAUACCAGUGCUGGUAUCUGGAACCAGCAGCAGCUCAUGAUGAGCCCAGAGACCAGACAGGGUAAGGACCACCCAGGGCAGCACCUCUGCCUGAACAGCUCAAGGAGAGGGCAGGGGGGCAGCACUGGGGCUUGGCCACAGCCCACAGACCCACGAGUAGUGCUGCCCAUUCUGCUCGUAGCUGUCCUGCCCUGCCACCCACUCCACCCCUGAGGCAGAGACCAAGCUGAGGCUCUGGGUGACAGCAGGACAGCCCCAACCCUGAGACUGCUCUGUCCAGCCAGGCCCUCCUCAGGAUAAGCAGCCCCAGGGCCUUCUCUCUCUCCCUUCCUUCCCCCACGACUUCUGCACAGCGGGUACGAGCUGUGCUGUCCCUGUCCCGACCCCCGCAUCUCCCAGCAUGACUCAUGUUUGUUGAUCCAGGCUAUUUCCGAGAGCACAGCUGGACUGAUCCCCACGGGACAUCGAGCCCCUUCCCUGCCCCGGCCCUCCUGCUUGGCCCAGUGCCACCCUCACACCACUUGUUUCCCAGAGGGAGGGCAACAGAUGGGUGAUUUCAGGGGAGCCAGGCACGGAGCUGCAGCCAGCAGGAGACAGGAGAUGAGCCACAGGUGCCCAGCACCCACGGUCACUGGAUGGGGCGAGCUGGUGCAGGCUGCCCUGGCACCCCUGACAUGGUGACAGCAAGGGCUGAGCCCAACCUGAGCUUGCACAAGCAUGGCCACAGCACCCAUGGGCACAGCCCAUGCUCCCACUGUACAUCCAAAGCAGCAGCAGGACCCGGCCCUCCUUCUCUUCCAAGUGGAGCAAGACCUGAGGAAGGUGCAUACCAGCUU